GCUUGUCAUCCAAGCUGGCUGUCACGAGGCUCAAAUUGGAAGCAGGUGAAUCUGCCUGAUGAGAGUUGAAAGAGGGAAGUGGGGAAGAGCAGGAAGGAGGGAGGGGCAGAGAGAGGAAAGAAUACAUUUCAGAAUCAACAGAAUCUGUGACUCUCUGUACUAACUAGGGUGACAAGGGUUGGAUAGGAACAAGAGUAAGGGACAUAUGUUCCUGCAGGAGGGAAAAUGCUUCUUAUAUAAUAAGUAAAGGGCAAAAGUAAUCUUAAAUGCGAGUAGAAGGUAGGGAAAGCUGCCUGUGGUUAACAUGGGGAUGCACCCCUAGGUCCCCUUUCCUGAAUGGAGGGUUUACUCCCUCACGUGGUGGAAAUGCUGCUGGAAGGAGACCCCCCCCAGCUGUCAGCCUCCUUUGGGGAAUGCCUGAGCUAAAGGAAGCUGCUCUGCCCAAGGUCAUGCUUUUUCUUCAGUGGCUGCCACUUCUUCAGUGGCCCAACCCUCUUGCCCCGACUGGGGACACCUGAGAGGGGCCAGCGCAGCCUCAGAGCUUUCCAGGAAGCUUCGAGCACUGCUGAUUUUCCUACUCUUCAUACUCAGUGGGCCUGGGAAAAUUACAAGCUGCUUGACUGACAAUGCACUGUCUUAUUUUUGAUGGAGGCAGAGCUGAGGAUCAAAGACAAGUGAAACCCAAAUGUGAAGUGAAAGCAAGCUGACCUUGGCUCACGGGUUCCCUUCAAAAGCAAUUAUAUACUUCAUGUGUAGGAAUCUGUGAGCAGAAGAGCUGGAGCUAGUGGUGAAGAACCUGCCUGCCAAUGCAGGAAAUGUAAGAAAUGCGGGCUUGAUCCCUGGAUCACGAAGAUCCCCUGGAGGAGGGCAUGGCCACUUGAGUAAUCUCACCUGGAGAAUCCCAUGAACAGAGGAGGCUGGUGGGCUACAGUCCAAAGGGUCACAAGGAGUUGGACACAACUGAGUGACUGAGUACAGCACAGCAUAGCACACAUGAGCAGAGGGCUGAUAAGAAAAUAACAAGGAAUUCUUAUAAUUACUUCCUAGAUCAGGGUUUUGUUUACAGGCACAAAGACAUGGCUUUUGUUUUCAACUCUGUCAUAAUCUCAUCCCCAAACUCUGAAUCAAGGAUUGAAUAUGGUGUAAGCACAAUAACCAGGUACUCUCUUCAGUUGGUUUUGAAACCACUUCAGUGAUUUUAAGAAAACAGACUUUCUACAAUCUGGCAGUAAACUGACCAGCUUGGGAUAUUUUUGCAUAUACAUUUCUUACUUUUCUGAAGAAAAAACUGGUAUGCCAGAAUUUUUCAAAGCUAAAAUUAUGGUAUAAGCAACAACUCUGUAGGCAGCCUGUGCUUCAACAUGCAAAAGCAGAAACAGGAAAGUCAGCCAGGCUAGGAGGGCCUGGUCAAGCAUAUGACACUGUGGGAUCACUGAAUGACAGGCAGGAUCCACUACAAUACCGCCUUUGAAAUGCCUUGCAAAGCAAUCUUAUGUCUAGAAAAUAAAGCCCUCAACUCCAGGCCUGAACUCACCCCACUCAUCCCACUCUCAUCCCUAC
ensembl:lncRNA